UCUUUAUAUCUUUUGUAAAACAACAAAAAUAGUAGCCUUUCGAUUAACACGAAUCAUCAUAGUCGAUGAAAGGUAAGGUACAAAGGAGUUUUCCCUUUGGCCGAUUUCUCCUUCCCUCAGCCUUCCACAAUCGCCACCGUCAUCUCUCCCUUCCCCCAUUUCUCCUCCUCUCCAUCUUCCUAUCCUCCUCACCCUCACCCUUUCUUGAUCUCCGUCCAUCCCUUUCACCCCCUCUAUCUCAAUUCCUCUCCCUUGAUCCCCCUCCCGGCGUCUCUCUCUUCCACUCCGUCGAUUUCCAGUGCCACUGACUCCAAACUCCUAAGGGCAUCGGGUUUAGCUAUUCUUCAGUGUAAGGAUGUUUUUUUGAUUCCUUACAAUGUGCCAAAUGGAUUUGGGAAAACUGAAGAAUUUGGUUCGUUGAAAACUGAGAAACUUGGGAGUUGCUUUUUGGAUGGUUACAAAUUUUUGGUUUGUAUUAGGUUUUCGUGAUUUUGUCGUCAUGUGAUUAAAAUUCAAUGUUUGGGCAAAACUAAGAACUGCAUCAAUUAGUGACAUUCAAAUAUCUAAACAGAUGGAUAGCCCUUUGACGCGUAGCUCUACCCCUAAUUCCUCACCUAUCUCAAAUCCUGGUUCACAUGAUGAAAACCCACGCGUUAAGUUCCUGUGCAGCUUCUUGGGAAGUAUAAUGCCUCGCCCCCAAGAUGGCAAGCUUCGGUAUGUUGGGGGAGAGACAAGGAUUGUGAGUGUUCCGAGGGAUAUUACCUAUGAAGAGUUGAUGGUUAAGAUGAGGGAACUUUAUGAUGGGGCUGCAGUGUUGAAAUACCAGCAACCAGAUGAGGAUCCUGAUGCUCUUGUGUCAGUUGUCAAUGAUGACGACGUGAUUAACAUGAUGGAAGAGUAUGAUAAGGUGGGUUCUGGUGAUGGGUUCACUAGGCUCAGGAUAUUUUUGUUUUCGCAUCCUGAACAAGAUGCUUCUUUGCCUUUUGUGGAUGGGGAUGAGAGGGAUACUGAGAGGCGAUAUGUAGAUGCUCUUAAUAAUUCAAAUGACAUGAAUGAUUUUGUUAGACAACAACAACAAAAUUCCCCUGCACUUAGUGGCAUAGAUGAUAUGCACGGGACUGAACAUUUUUUGAAUCCAAUGAAUAUUGAAGGUAGUCUUCACACUCAGAGGAGUUGUGAGCCCUUGUCACAAUACCACCUGCAUCAGCUCACAAUCCCUCAUGUUGGGUCUGGGGGGCAACAACAAUCUGUGGCUCAAAGGUAUAGUGAAAUGGAAGCUCCAUGGAGUCCUGCUUUACUUUCACCUAGGCAUCACGGUCCAUAUGAUUCAAGACCAAUGGGAGACUAUCCAUCUUCUCCAUUUGCACGGUACCGUAUGCCAUUCCCCGAUUUGCCAGAUAAAUAUUUGGAAAGAAUGCCUGAAGACUAUGUCAGGCAACAAAUGAAUCACCAACAUAUGUAUGAACAUCAACCACAGUAUAAUGAGAAUAUUGUAUGGCUGCCAAAUGGAACAAUUAAUGAAGAAUCGGGUUUCCCAGGUAAUAUAUUACAUGGACAUGGUGUUCCAGAUGGGAAUAGUUCUUGUGAACACUGUCGAGCAAAUUUUCAUCGGUAUCAAGCACACAUGGAGCAAGUUAAUACCUUAAAUGGGCUUCCCCUUGAAUACACUCAGAAUAGGGAGGCCUUGAUGCAGAAGGCAGACACAAAGUUCCAUCAUGGUAUUUUUCCAAACGAGCAGAAUAUUAAUGAUCAUCGAUCUGCUUAUAAUGAGACACCACCCCAUGAGAAAGGAUGGAUUAUGCAACACCAAAUGAGUGUGCGAGGGGAUGACACGAGAACACAUGUUUCUGGGACUGGGCGAUUAACUGAUCACUACAUUGUGGAUGGUUCUGGCUCAAAUUUGCCUUCUACACAAAGUAAUGUUGCUGAUGGCUACCAUGCUUCAACAAAUUUUCAUGAUGAGGUAUUUCGUGAUCAGGUUGUGCCUAGUGGGCAACAUAUGUGUGUUCCUCCUCCUGAAGAUCGUGGUGUUGGUUAUAUGCCUUAUGGAUAUGGAGGAGAACCUCAUUAUCCUCCAAUGGCACAAAGGCAUAUGCCCGGAAACGCCUCUUGGCGAAAUGUUCAGAAUCCAUUGCAUGUUGCUCCCCCAUAUGAAGCAUCUGUUUUCCAUCAACAAGGGAAUGCAAGUAUAAAUCCAGGAUAUAUCAAAGCCAUGCAAGAUGGUAGUCCACGAAUUCAUAUGGGUGUGGACCACCAAAAUCCAUGGCAUGAAUCCUCACAAAAAGUUUUGGGUGUUGAUGGAGCAACUGGUACAGAGCAUUUACCUGCACAUGUUUUGAAGACUAACUCGACCACAGUUGGCCAUGACAAUCAACAAUUCACAAGUUUAGAACACAUCCAACCACAUCUUGAUAAAAUAAACCUUGUUGCUUCUCCUAUGCAGAGGUCAGAUUCAUCUUCAGCAUUCAUUCAAGAAAAAAUGGUUGCACCUUUUCAUCCUAGCCAAAAUCCACAACUAAGGGCUGUUAGUGCGGUUAAUGAAGCUAUGAUGAUGGAAAGGAAAGUUGUGCAUGGGGAAGGAAAUGGUCACAUGAUAAAGGAUAUGGGGAAACCUGACAUCUCUGAAGCACACACUGCGUCUCAUCCAGGGCAGAAUAACACUGAUGAUACAUAUUCCAAGGUUGCACCCCUUGAAUUGUUAAAUUCAACUUGCACAAACUCUGCAGUAGAAAAUGGUGAUGGCUUGAAACCUUCUGUAGAGACUCUAGAAAAACCUAAACUAUCUGUCAGCCGUCUGAGUUUCUUACCUGAGUUGAUUGCUUCUGUGAAAAGAGCAGCACUAGAAGUAUCUGAAGAGACAAUGGUUGAAGAAACUGCUCUAAGGAGACCAGAUUCAAUAGAGAAAAAAGAGACAACAAAUGAGCAACACUCCUCGAAUAACCAUGUGGAACCUGAGUUGGAAACGGAGAGUGAAAAUCAAAGCUCCAGAAUUGAGCCAACAAAAGCUGAAGAGGAAGCCAUUUCAAGAGGAUUACAAACAAUUAAAAAUGAUGAUCUGGAGGAGAUUCGUGAACUAGGGUCUGGGACUUAUGGUGCUGUUUAUCAUGGGAAGUGGAGAGGUUCUGAUGUUGCAAUAAAGAGAAUCAAAGCUAGUUGUUUUGCUGGACGGCCUUCGGAAAGAGAACGUUUGAUUGCUGAUUUUUGGAAGGAAGCUUUGAUAUUAAGUUCUUUACACCAUCCAAAUGUUGUUUCCUUCUACGGCAUUGUCCGUGAUGGUCCUGAUGGUUCCUUAGCUACAGUGACAGAAUUCAUGGUUAAUGGAUCAUUGAAGCAGUUUUUGCACAAAAAGGACAGGACCAUUGAUCGUCGUAAGAGGCUCAUUAUAGCUAUGGAUGCUGCAUUUGGGAUGGAAUAUUUACAUGGGAAGAAUAUUGUACAUUUUGAUUUGAAAUGUGAAAACCUUUUGGUGAAUAUGAGAGACCCUCAGAGGCCUGUUUGCAAGAUUGGUGAUUUGGGAUUGUCAAAGGUGAGACAACACACGUUAGUAUCGGGAGGGGUUCGUGGAACUUUGCCUUGGAUGGCGCCAGAGCUUCUUAGUGGGAAAAGUAACAUGGUGACAGAGAAGAUUGAUGUUUACUCAUUUGGAAUUGUUAUGUGGGAACUACUCACAGGAGAUGAACCAUAUUCAGAUAUGCAUUGUGCUUCAAUAAUCGGAGGAAUUGUGAACAAUUGUUUACGCCCUGAAAUUCCGACAUGGUGCGACCCAGAAUGGAAGGCUUUAAUGUCAAGCUGUUGGGACUCGGAUCCAGCUAAGAGACCAUCAUUUUCAGAAAUUUCUCAGAAGCUAAGGAAUAUGGCAGCUGCAAUGAAUGUGAAAUAGUUGUUAAUCUCCAAUCCAACCCAUCCACUAUUCCAUUCAUAAGCUAAGCCAAGAAUUGGCAAAAGACACUUUUAAAAAAAGAACAUGAAGCAUAGUUUUUGCAACUUUAAGGCAAUCUGCUGGUUCUCAAAGUGUAAGAAGGCUAUUAGAUGUGAUGUCAUUCUCUUGUGGAAUCCUUUUCUUUAGCAUAUUAUCUAUAGAGUAUGGUUAUUAUAUGUGCUCUAUAGAGACUGCAUUGCUGGAAGACUACAAGUACAUAUAUGAAGGAGAUCCAUGUAGUCAUUGGAAUGAUUUCACUUGGGAUUCUGCCGUUGGAAGCGUACGCCUUACAGUAAUGAUACAAUACAUAUAUAUGUUGGUUCUGCUAUAAUUUGCUGGAAGACCUGUUUUCCUAAAUUUUUUUCUUUCACUUCUGUAUGUGGGAGUAUAUAUGUAAAUAAGAAGGAGAUGGAGAGGGGGAGAGGGGAGGGGGGGGAGGGAGGGGUUGCAAAUUGGGAAGGUACACAUCAUCUUUGGGAAGGUAAAGAUACUGCUGCAAGCCUAACAAUGUACUUCCAUAUCUGAGAUGAAACUGAAUUAAAUUUAUUAUACAUAUAAGUUUUGAGAAGAAAAAAUGUUGGUUUGGGUGAGUUUGGUAGGGCCUCA